rnacentral:rRNA from 1 species
AUGGAUGCGCUCAUUGACUGGGAUUUCUCGUAUGGCCAGAAGGUGGCCGAUCAAGUGCGUCGUCGGUUCCACUCUCCGGUCCACUUUGAUGGAUCUAUCUCCUCUUCGGAGUUCUUUCUGGUGGUUCUUUUCCAUUCGAGUUCUUUUCAUUUGGAUGUGGAUUCUAUCUCCAUGGUGCUCUACUCCUGCUUUGGAGGCAAUCUCAAGAGGUUCAACGUGUUAAUGCCCUCGGAUAAUCUUCUCCGUUUCUCGGUUGCCUCCAACCGUGUGGGUCAUUUCAUUUGCACUUUGAAGGGUUGUCGCAUGCCAGCUUUCCAUUGUUAA